GACGAACGCUGGCGGCGUGCUUAACACAUGCAAGUCGAACGGAAAGGCCCUGCUUUUGUGGGGUGCUCGAGUGGCGAACGGGUGAGUAACACGUGAGUAACCUGCCCUUGACUUUGGGAUAACUUCAGGAAACUGGGGCUAAUACCGGAUAGGAGCUCCUGCUGCAUGGUGGGGGUUGGAAAGUUUCGGCGGUUGGGGAUGGACUCGCGGCUUAUCAGCUUGUUGGUGGGGUAGUGGCUUACCAAGGCUUUGACGGGUAGCCGGCCUGAGGGGGUGACCGGCCACAUUGGGACUGAGAUACGGCCCAGACUCCUACGGGAGGCAGCAGUGGGGAAUAGUGCACAAUGGGCGGAAGCCUGAUGCAGCCACGCCGCGUGCGGGAUGACGGCCUUCGGGUUGUAAACCGCUUUCGCCUGUGACGAAGCGUGAGUGACGGUAAUGGGUAAAGAAGCACCGGCUAACUACGUG
rnacentral:rRNA from 1 species